GACGUAGGGGACGAGCGUUGUCCGGAUUCAUUGGGCGUAAAGAGCGCGUAGGCGGUCCGGUAAGUCGGUUGUGAAAACUGGGGGCUCAACCCUCAGAGACCGACCGAUACUGUCGGGCUAGAGUCCGGAAGAGGCGAGUGGAAUUCCUGGUGUAGCGGUGAAAUGCGCAGAUAUCAGGAGGAACACCAAUGGCGAAGGCAGCUCGCUGGGACGGUACUGACGCUGAGGCGCGAAAGCGUGGGGAGCAAACAGG
rnacentral:rRNA from 1 species